AAAAAAAAAAAAAAUAGAGGGAAAAAAAACCGUAGUCUAAUUGUCCGAAUCUGGGGAGCUGAGACGUCCGGCAGCGCGAUAUCUCUUCCCCGCGGGGCUCGCCCGGUGCUGCCCGCACCGCGCCGUGGGGCUUCGGUCCCGGGGACCCGGAGCAAUGCGGGGAUGGGGCGAGCAGAGCCCCGGCGGUGAGCGCGCAGAUGACGCGGGGCCGGAGCAGGACGGCUGGGGCGUAAAUCACCGCGCUCUGCAAUGGCCCCAGCGGGGAACCCCGUGCCAUCUCCCCUUCCUCUGCUGAAGACACCGAAUCACCCUUGCCCUGUGCCUGUGGACAGACCUUGGUGGAGAGCAAUUGAAGAACCCAACCAAGCUAUUUCUACCUGCAAGGGAGCAGAGUGUGCAGCCUCCCACUCUCACUCCGUAAUCGAACACAGCCAUAACUCAAUGCAAACUGUGGAGAGAGGCGUUUUCCACGUGACAGAAGAUGAUGGAGGAGAUGUCCCACUCCUCGUACCUCGUGGGAUCGUUCCCUCUGUCUGCGGUGGUGCUGUCCUUCUCUCAGAGGUGCAGGAAACAGAUUCCCACCUUUGGUCUCCCACCAAAGCGAAUUGCUUUUGGCGCAGCACUCACCCUAACUAACUUUCUCCCCGUAUUUAUUUAUUUGGUUGCAGGAGAAAAAAAAAAUAAUAAAAAUAAAAAUAAAACUGAAACGUCCUUGCGU
rnacentral:lncRNA from 1 species